rnacentral:rRNA from 1 species
GUUGAACGCUGGCGGCAGGCUUAACACAUGCAAGUCGAGCGGAGAUGAAGUGCUUGCACCUUAUCUUAGCGGCGGACGGGUGAGUAAUGCUUAGGAAUCUGCCUAUUAGUGGGGGACAACAUUCCGAAAGGAAUGCUAAUACCGCAUACGUCCUACGGGAGAAAGCAGGGGAUCUUCGGACCUUGCGCUAAUAGAUGAGCCUAAGUCGGAUUAGCUAGUUGGUGGGGUAAAGGCCUACCAAGGCGACGAUCUGUAGCGGGUCUGAGAGGAUGAUCCGCCACACUGGGACUGAGACACGGCCCAGACUCCUACGGGAGGCAGCAGUGGGGAAUAUUGGACAAUGGGGGGAACCCUGAUCCAGCCAUGCCGCGUGUGUGAAGAAGGCCUUAUGGUUGUAAAGUACUUUAAGCGAGGAGGAGGCUACUGAGACUAAUACCCUUGGAUAGUGGACGUUACUCGCAGAAUAAGCACCGGCUAACUCUGUGCCAGCAGCCGCCGUAAAAC